rnacentral:rRNA from 1 species
UAGGGAAUCUUCCGCAAUGGGCGAAAGCCUGACGGAGCAACGCCGCGUGAGUGAAGAAGGUCUUCGGAUCGUAAAACUCUAUUAUUAGGGAAGAACAAAUGUGUAAGUAACUAUGCACGUCUUGACGGUACCUAAUCAGAAAGCCACGGCUAACUACGUGCCAGCAGCCGCGGUAAUACGUAGGUGGCAAGCGUUAUCCGGAAUUAUUGGGCGUAAAGCGCGCGUAGGCGGUUUUUUAAGUCUGAUGUGAAAGCCCACGGCUCAACCGUGGAGGGUCAUUGGAAACUGGAAAACUUGAGUGCAGAAGAGGAAAGUGGAAUUCCAUGUGUAGCGGUGAAAUGCGCAGAGAUAUGGAGGAACACCAGUGGCGAAGGCGACUUUCUGGUCUGUAACUGACGCUGAUGUGCGAAAGCGUGGGGAUCAAACAGG